GAUGAAGAAGGUAGCGAAAUGCGAUACGUAAUGUGAAUUGCAGAAUUCAGUGAAUCAUCGAAUCUUUGAACGCACAUUGCGCCCGCCAGCACUCUGGCGGGCAUGCCUGUUCGAGCGUCAUUUCAACCAUCAAGCCCCAGGCUUGCGUUGGAGCCCUGCGGCUGCCGCAGCCUCCUAAAAGCAGUGGCGGGCUCGCUAUCACACCGAGUGCAGUAGAUUACUCUUCGCUCAGGGCGUGCAGCGGGUUCCGGCCGUGAAACCCCCUACUUUUAAAGGUUGACCUCGGAUCAGGUAGGAAUACCCGCUGAACUUAAGCAUAUCAAUAAGCGGAGGA
rnacentral:misc_RNA from 1 species